UCGGGGCAGGGUGAGUCGACCCCUAAGGCGAGGCCGAAAGGCGUAGUCGAUGGGAAACAGGUUAAUAUUCCUGUACUUGGUGUUACUGCGAAGGGGGGACGGAGAAGGCUAUGUUGGCCGGGCGACGGUUGUCCCGGUUUAAGCGUGUAGGCUGGUUUUCCAGGCAAAUCCGGAAAAUCAAGGCUGAGGCGUGAUGACGAGGCACUACGGUGCUGAAGCAACAAAUGCCCUGCUUCCAGGAAAAGCCUCUAAGCAUCAGGUAACAUCAAAUCGUACCCCAAACCGACACAGGUGGUCAGGUAGAGAAUACCAAGGCGCUUGAGAGAACUCGGGUGAAGGAACUAGGCAAAAUGGUGCCGUAACUUCGGGAGAAGGCACGCUGAUAUGUAGGUGAAGUCCCUCGCGGAUGGAGCUGAAAUCAGUCGAAGAUACCAGCUGGCUGCAACUGUUUAUUAAAAACACAGCACUGUGCAAACACGAAAGUGGACGUAUACGGUGUGACGCCUGCCCGGUGCCGGAAGGUUAAUUGAUGGGGUCAGCGCAAGCGAAGCUCUUGAUCGAAGCCCCGGUAAACGGCGGCCGUAACUAUAACGGUCCUAAGGUAGCGAAAUUCCUUGUCGGGUAAGUUCCGACCUGCACGAAUGGCGUAAUGAUGGCCAGGCUGUCUCCACCCGAGACUCAGUGAAAUUGAACUCGCUGUGAAGAUGCAGUGUACCCGCGGCAAGACGGAAAGACCCCGUGAACCUUUACUAUAGCUUGACACUGAACAUUGAGCCUUGAUGUGUAGGAUAGGUGGGAGGCUUUGAAGUGUGGACGCCAGUCUGCAUGGAGCCGACCUUGAAAUACCACCCUUUAAUGUUUGAUGUUCUAACGUGGACCCGUGAUCCGGGUUGCGGACAGUGUCUGGUGGGUAGUUUGACUGGGGCGGUCUCCUCCUAAAGAGUAACGGAGGAGCACGAAGGUUGGCUAAUCCUGGUCGGACAUCAGGAGGUUAGUGCAAUGGCAUAAGCCAGCUUGACUGCGAGCGUGACGGCGCGAGCAGGUGCGAAAGCAGGUCAUAGUGAUCCGGUGGUUCUGAAUGGAAGGGCCAUCGCUCAACGGAUAAAAGGUACUCCGGGGAUAACAGGCUGAUACCGCCCAAGAGUUCAUAUCGACGGCGGUGUUUGGCACCUCGAUGUCGGCUCAUCACAUCCUGGGGCUGAAGUAGGUCCCAAGGGUAUGGCUGUUCGCCAUUUAAAGUGGUACGCGAGCUGGGUUUAGAACGUCGUGAGACAGUUCGGUCCCUAUCUGCCGUGGGCGCUGGAGAACUGAGGGGGGCUGCUCCUAGUACGAGAGGACCGGAGUGGACGCAUCACUGGUGUUCGGGUUGUCAUGCCAAUGGCACUGCCCGGUAGCUAAAUGCGGAAGAGAUAAGUGCUGAAAGCAUCUAAGCACGAAACUUGCCCCGAGAUGAGUUCUCCCUGACCCUUUAAGGGUCCUGAAGGAACGUUGAAGACGACGACGUUGAUAGGCCGGGUGUGUAAGCGCAGCGAUGCGUUGAGCUAACCGGUACUAAUGAACCGUGAGGCUUAACCUUACAACGCCGAAGGUGUUU
rnacentral:rRNA from 1 species